rnacentral:rRNA from 1 species
GACGAACGCUGGCGGCGUGCUUAACACAUGCAAGUCGUACGGUAAGGCCCUGCCUGGGGUACACGAGUGGCUAACGGGUGAGUGACACGUGAGUAACCUGCCCGCAACUUUGGGAUAACGCUAGGAAACUGGUGCUUAUUCUGGCUAUGUGCUCCUGCGGCAUGGUGGGGGUUGGAAAGCUCCGGCGGUUGUGGAUGGACUCGCGGCCUAUCGGCUUGUUGGUGGGGUAGUGGCCUACCAAGGCGGCGGCCGGUAGCCGGUCUGAGAGGGUGACCGGCGAAAUUGGGACCGAGAGACGGCCCAGACGCAUAAGGGGGGAAGAAGUGGGGAAGAUUGCAAAAUGGGCGCAAGGCUGAUGCAGAAAGGCUGCGUGCGGGAUGACGGCCUUCGGGUUGUGAACCGCUUUAAGCAGGGACGAAGCUUUUUGUGACGGUACCUGCAGAAGAAGCACCGGCUAACUACGUG